rnacentral:rRNA from 1 species
AGCAGCCGCGGUAAUUCCAGCUCCAAUAGCGUAUAUUAAAGUUGUUGCAGUUAAAAGCUCGUAGUUGAAUUUCGGGAUUGACAUGUUGGUCGUGCCUUAAGGGGUAUGAACUGACAUUGUUGAUUUCUCACCUCCUGGAGAAUCACGAUGCUCUUAAUUGGGUGUCGUGUGGAUCCAGGACCUUUACCUUGAAAAAUUGAGUGUUUAAAGCAGGCAUUUUUGCUCGAAUACAUUAGCAUGGAAUAAUAAAAUAGGACGGCUUGGUUCUAUUUUGUUGGUUUCUAGGAUCACCGUAAUGAUUAAUAGGGAUAGUUGGGGGCAUUAGUAUUCAAUUGUCAGAGGUGAAAUUCUUGGAUUUAUUGAAGACUAACUACUGCGAAAGCAUUUGCCAAGGAUGUUUUCAUUAAUCAAGAACGAAAGUUAGGGGAUCGAAGACGAUCAGAUACCGUC